rnacentral:rRNA from 1 species
UGGGGAAUUUUGGACAAUGGGCGAAAGCCUGAUCCAGCAAUGCCGCGUGUGUGAAGAAGGCCUUCGGGUUGUAAAGCACUUUUGUCCGGAAAGAAAUCCUCUGGGUUAAUACCUCGGGGGGAUGACGGUACCGGAAGAAUAAGCACCGGCUAACUACGUGCCAGCAGCCGCGGUAAUACGUAGGGUGCAAGCGUUAAUCGGAAUUACUGGGCGUAAAGCGUGCGCAGGCGGUUUUGUAAGACGGAUGUGAAAUCCCCGGGCUUAACCUGGGAACCGCAUUCGUGACUGCAAGGCUAGAGUAUGGCAGAGGGGGGUAGAAUUCCACGUGUAGCAGUGAAAUGCGUAGAGAUGUGGAGGAAUACCGAUGGCGAAGGCAGCCCCCUGGGCCAAUACUGACGCUCAUGCACGAAAGCGUGGGGAGCAAACAGGAUUAGAUACCCUGGGUAGUCCACGCCCUAAACGAUGUCAACUAGUUGUUGGGGAUUCAUUUCCUUAGUAACGUAGCUAACCGCGUGAAGUUGACCGCCUGGGGAGUAAC